rnacentral:lncRNA from 1 species
UAAAAUCACUGUUAAGAGCAUUGAAGUUAAUACCUCUGGAAGCCAUUGGAAGGUGGUCACAGGAUAGUUAUAAGCUUGCACUGUCGAGACAUAGACUUGAUAAUGAUUAAUAACAGAAGUUAGAAUUGAUAACACUGGAUAAAUUGCCAUUAAAAUAUCAAGCAUUCAGGCAUAUAUCCUGAGUCUGUGUUUAUAUAUAAAAUAAAUUCAACAAAGGAAUAUUUACUUUUGUACCUUAUUAU